AAUAAGUUGAUUAUCAUUUUAGGGUUUUAGCGCAGCUUCAUGAGUGUCCCUUAUCCAGCCUUGGAUGGCAUAGAUUAGCACCACAUUAUGCAGCUGAAAAAUUCUUUCGGGAUGCUACAAUUCAGCACUAAACAGGGCAUGUAUAGAGAUGUAAGUAUAUAACUAAGCUAUUACUAUCAAAACAUGUUGAUGUUAUAUACGUCAAUAUGACGUCAGAAAUAUAUAAAAAAAAUCUUAUACAUUUUGUGUAAUAUUUCAAAAGUGUACACCAAAGCGUCGUGAUUGGUUACAAACUUCAUACACAAUUGAAAUUCAACAAAUGACGUGACGUUAUUUUCAUUUUUGUGUACGAACAAUAAAAUUACCUAUAGUCCUUUAGAUUCUUAAACGGUCGAUUGCACCCUUACACAACGCUCGGGAUUCACAUCUUAACACAUUAAGCUACAUUAGUAAUCAUUGUUAGUAAUAAUUGUCCCAUUUUGAAUUAAUACUAUUUAUUUAUGCACUACUUCCAUGCAGAAGCCUGUUUUAAUAAGUGAGUGAUUAUGAAAAAAAAAACACGUUGACUACCUUUAUUUCAAAUGAUUGCCAAAACCUUAUAUCAUCACAUUUGAAAAAAAAACACUUCCUCAUUUCUAUGGAGAUUAGCAGUCCAUCAAUAGAGGUAACAAAUGUACAUUAACAAAAACACCCACAAAGAGUUAAAUGCCAUUUAGUUCUUACGGUGUCAAUUUUUCUUUGUACUAAGUCAGGAAUAUGACAGUUGUUGUCCAUUCGUUUGAUGUGUUUUAUCAUUUGAUUAGGGACUUUCCGUUUUGAAACUUCCUAGGAGUUCAGUAUUUUUGUGAUUUUACUUUUUGUUUAUGCUCACGCGUUUAUUUUAAGCCAUUUGCAUAUUAGAAGUUUUAAAAGAUUGCCUUAUUAAAUCAGAAAUAUGAAAGUCUUUUCGUUGGAUGAAAUAACCAAACGUUUGGUUUUAUCAAUUUUUAUGGAGUUCUCCUUCUUAGAACUGCCUUGUUGCUCCGUAUUGUAUUGUUUCUGAAUCAAAUAUCAAAGUAAAUCAACUCUCGUUUUCUUAUUAUAAAACUGAUUUAAAAAGAUAGAAACCCAACAUUAUAUUUUUCUAAGUUACAGAGUUCUUUGCUUUUCCGGUCUGAUAACUGCUGAAUGGUUAUAAAUUAUUGAUUUUUUUGUUUGUAGAUUGUGAGUUAACAGAAAAGUGGAUUCCACCGGCAUAACGCAUUAUAACCAUACCAUAUUGUAAAUGGAAUGUAACCACGCAUCCUUGCUAUCACAAUAAAUAUUUAAAUUGAAAUUUUA
rnacentral:lncRNA from 1 species